GCCUUGCUAGCUCAAUCGGUAGAGGUUUGUCUUUCACUCGCUCUUCCUGAAAUAUCACUAAUUUGUGAACAGCGGUAAGGGACAUUCCAAGCUUCAACCAACACAGCGUAUACUCAUAAUUCUUCAGUAAGACUCUUAAACAAGAGAUACCAUCUUAAGGCUGUGGGUUCGACCCCCACGUAGGGCU